rnacentral:rRNA from 1 species
UCUGGUUGAUCCUGCCAGUAGUCAUAUGCUUGUCUCAAAGAUUAAGCCAUGCAUGUCUAAGUAUAAAUAGUAUACAGUGAAACUGCGAAUGGCUCAUUAAAACAGUUAUAGUUUAUUUGAUAAUUGACAAUUACAUGGAUAACCGUGGUAAUUCUAGAGCUAAUACAUGCUUAAACGCCCGACUUUAUGGAAGGGUGGUAUUUAUUAGACUGAAGCCAAUAUUCCUUGUGUCUAUUGCGGUGAUUCAUAAUAACUGAUCGAAUCUCUUUUUGAGAUAAAUCAUUCAAGUUUCUGCCCUAUCAGCUUUCGAUGGUAGUGUAUUGGACUACCAUGGCAGUAACGGGUAACGAAGAAUUAGGGUUCGAUUUCGGAGAGGGAGCAUGAGAAACGGCUACCACAUCUAAGGAAGGCAGCAGGCGCGUAAAUUACCCAAUCCUGACUCAGGGAGGUAGUGACAAGAAGUAGCAAACCGGGAACCUCAUGGUUUCACGGUAUUGCAAUGAGAACAAUUUAAAACCCUUAGCGAGAAUCAAGUGGAGGACAAGUCUGGUGCCAGCACCCGCGGUAAUUCCAGCUCCACUAGCGUAUAUUAAAGUUGUUGCAGUUAAAAAGCUCGUAGUUGAACCUCUGUCUGGGGCUAGUUUUGGCUUUGGUCAGGCUAGUUCUAGGCAUCCGCCUACAAGACUUAGAGGGCAUUCAGUUGUUCACUAGGAGGAGUAGGCAUUUUACUUUGAAAAAAUUAGAGUGUUUAAGGCAGGCAAUCGCCCGCAUAUAUUAGCAUGGAAUAAUAGAAUAGGACACUUUUCCAUUUCGUUGGUUAUUGGAAUCGUGUAAUGAUUAAUAGGGACAGUUGUGGGCAUUUGUAUUUAAUUGUCAGAGGUGAAAUUCUUGGAUUUAUUAAAGACAAACUAACGCGAAAGCAUUUGCCAAGGAUGUUUUCAUUAAUCAAGAACGAAAGUUAGGGGAUCAAAGACGAUCAGAUACCGUCCUAGUCUUAACUAUAAACUAUUCCGACUCAAUGUUUGACUGGCUUAUAUAACCAGUUGAGCGUUGUAUGAGAAAUCAAAGUCUUUAGGUUCUGGGGGGAGUAUGGUUGCAAAGCUGAAACUUAAAGGAAUUGACGGAAGAGCACAACCAGGAGUGGAUUCUGCGGCUUAAUUUGACUCAACACGGGGAAACUUACCAGGUUAAAACAAUAGUGGGAUUGACAGUUUGAGAGCGCUUUCUUGAUUGGUUGGGUGGUGGUGCAUGGCCGUUCUUAGUUGGUGGAGUGAUUUGUCUGCUUAAUUGCGUUAACGAACGAGACCUUAACCUGCUUACUAGACUGGCG